GCUAGUCCUGGUUCUGAAUACUUUGUGCACAGAGUGGGAGAGGGUAAGAGAUCUAACUUUACACCAGUCAUUGGCAGUAUUUGUUCCUGUGGCCACAGCUUUGGUUCGUCUAUCUCGUAAUUGAAAGUUUGGUGUAAAAACUAGUUUACUAGAUAGACGAUAUUUGUGUUUUGUGAGAGUGUGGAUCGCGGAACAGUAACUAAAACUAACUAGAUUUGUAACUGAAGGAACUGAUGUUCCGCUAAGAAUUAUGUCGGAUAUUGGUGCAGGAUUACGAUCGGUCACACGUCAAGUCAGCUGACAUAUUGCGCCCUGCUACACCGCAACAGCUCUUGCCUGGUUCUUGAUUCGUUCCAUUCGCUUUGCACUCUUCUCUUAAUCCUCUAUCUUGGCGUUUCUCUUCAUAAAAAGAUGUCCGACGCAACGUAGAAUACAUAUUACAUGGGACAAAGGAAACAACGCAAUUUCUGACUAGGUUCCUCAGAUUGAAGUAAUAUCGAGCGCUCGAGCGCGAAGUUGCAUACAAAGAGCGAGAAAGAGAGAGAACGAGAAGGAAAGAAGGAAGAGAGAAAGAGUUAUUUGGUAACAUUUCGUUUUAGUUGUGGAGAGAGAGAAGGGUCUUAAGAGACAAAGCGAACGCGCGCAUCGAGAGUGGCUAAAGCGAGAAUUGCGCCGCCGAGAAUUACAAAGCACAAGUCAGAAGGGAAGAGAGCUCCCCCGACCGACGGUCGACUAUCGGUCGUAACUGCACGUCAUCUAACGUGUCUUAACACGAUAAGGAUAGACGGAGAACCUAC
rnacentral:lncRNA from 1 species